AUUGAACGCUGGCGGCAGGCCUAACACAUGCAAGUCGGGCGAGCGGCGGACGGGUGAGUAAUGUCUGGGGAUCUGCCUGAUGGAGGGGGAUAACUACUGGAAACGGUAGCUAAUACCGCAUACCAUAGGAUGUGCCCAAGUGGGAUUAGGUAGUUGGUGGGGUAACGGCUCACCAAGCCGACGAUCUCUAGCUGGUCUUAGAGGAUGACCAGCAAAACUGGGACUGAGACACGGUCCAGACUCCUACGGGAGGCAGCAGUGGGGAAUAUUGCGCAAUGGGCGCAACCCUGACGCAGCCAGGCCGCGUGAAUGAAGAAGGCCUUCGGGUUGUAAAGUGCUUUCGGUAGGGAUGCGUUACCUACAGAAGAAGCACCGGCUAACUCCGUGCCAGCAGCCGCGGUAAUAC
rnacentral:rRNA from 1 species